CGGGUGAGUAAUGUCUGGGAAACUGCCCGAUGGAGGGGGAUAACUACUGGAAACGGCAGCUAAUACCGCAUAACGUCGCAAGACCAAAGAGGGGGACCUUAGGGCCUCUUGCCAUCGGAUGUGCCCAGAUGGGAUUAGCUAGUAGGUGGGGUAAUGGCUCACCUAGGCGACGAUCCCUAGCUGGUCUGAGAGGAUGACCAGCCACACUGGAACUGAGACACGGUCCAG
rnacentral:rRNA from 1 species